rnacentral:lncRNA from 1 species
UAAAAGCCCACAAUUCUCCAAGUUUUACUUCCAGGUAAGUUCCUCAUUCACUCUCCUAUCCUUUUUCUUUUCCCAGAUCAGUUCUUACAAUACACCAAACAAAGCACAAAAAUCAUAACUCUACUUUAUGUUUUAUAUUGAUGAUAACUUAGUUUGACACAAACAAAAAUCAGGCGAAAUCAAGGAUGAAGGUGUUAGUAAUUCUCCUGCUCAUAUCAAUGACACUGGAAACUUAUGGGAGAAUGGCCAUGAUGGAUCAUCAUUCAAUUGGUGAAGAUAUGGGAAAGGCGCAAUCCACACAAGGGUAUUACGGGGGAAGCUCCGUCGACAACCAUCAUAACAUUCCAAGAGAUCAGUAUAACAGCCACGGAGGCGGAAACACUAGCCAAGAACCCUCAGGAGGAGGAGAUGGAGGGGGUGACACAAAUAAUUAGGAUGUGGGGAGUGUUUUGAUUCUCAAAGUAUAUAUAUAUAGCAUGUGGUGAGGAAAAUACUAUGUUUGGAUGAGUACUAUGACGGCUACUUAAUUCGCAUGUGAGAAGUUCGGAUCUGAAUGAAUAAUUUAUGUAAUUGUAGUGCCCUAUGUUGAAAAGUAGUUAAGUACCAAUAAGAACGGUCAUAUGUAUGUAUGUAUAUAAAUAUAAUGAAUAAGAAUAAUAAGGUAUGCUAUUGUAUACAUGUAUGCAGAUACUAUAUUACGUACAUAUGCAUCUAAAAGCAUCUAGAAGUGUGUUUAUCA